AUUGAACGCUGGCGGCAUGCCUUACACAUGCAAGUCGAACGGCAGCACGGGGCAACCUGGUGGCGAGUGGCGAACGGGUGAGUAAUGCAUCGGAACGUACCUUUCAGUGGGGGAUAACGUAGCGAAAGUUACGCUAAUACCGCAGAUUCUGUGAGCAGGAUAGCAGGGGAUCGCAAGGCCCUGCGCUGACUGAGCGGCCGAUGUCAGAUUAGCUAGUUGGUGAGGUAAAGGCUCACCAAGGGGACGAUCUGUAGCGGGUCUGAGAGGAUGAUCCGCCACACUGGAACUGAGACACGGUCCAGACUCCUACGGGAGGCAGCGGUGGGGAAUUUUGGACAAUGGGGGCAACCCUGAUCCAGCCAUGCCGCGUGAGUGAAGAAGGCCUUCGGGUUGUAAAGCUCUUUCGGCCGGGAAGAAAUCGCACGGGCUAAUACCCUGUGUGGAUGACGGUACCGGAAUAAGAAGCACCGGCUAACUACGUGCCAGCAGCCGCCGUAAAAC
rnacentral:rRNA from 1 species